GAGCAGGGCGCCGUGCUUACACAUGCAGUCGACGAUGAACCGCUUUCGGGCGGGGAUUAGUGGCGAACGGGUGAGUAACACGUGGGCAAUCUGCCCUGCACUCUGGGACAAGCCCUGGAAACGGGGUCUAAUACCGGAUAUGACUGUCCAUCGCAUGGUGGAUGGUGUAAAGCUCCGGCGGUGCAGGAUGAGCCCGCGGCCUAUCAGCUUGUUGGUGAGGUAGUGGCUCACCAAGGCGACGACGGGUAGCCGGCCUGAGAGGGCGACCGGCCACACUGGGACUGAGACACGGCCCAGACUCCUACGGGAGGCAGCAGUGGGGAAUAUUGCACAAUGGGCGAAAGCCUGAUGCAGCGACGCCGCGUGAGGGAUGACGGCCUUCGGGUUGUAAACCUCUUUCAGCAGGGAAGAAGCGAAAGUGACGGUACCUGCAGAAGAAGCGCCGGCUAACUACGUGCCAGCAGCCGCGGUAAUACGUAGGGCGCAAGCGUUGUCCGGAAUUAUUGGGCGUAAAGAGCUCGUAGGCGGCUUGUCACGUCGGUUGUGAAAGCCCGGGGCUUAACCCCGGGUCUGCAGUCGAUACGGGCAGGCUAGAGUUCGGUAGGGGAGAUCGGAAUUCCUGGUGUAGCGGUGAAAUGCGCAGAUAUCAGGAGGAACACCGGUGGCGAAGGCGGAUCUCUGGGCCGAUACUGACGCUGAGGAGCGAAAGCGUGGGGGAGCGAACAGGAUUAGAUACCCUGGUAGUCCACGCCGUAAACGGAGGGCACUAAGGUGUGGCCAACAUUCCACGUUGUCCGU
rnacentral:rRNA from 2 species